UGCAUAUGGCUGAGAAUUGAAUAUAACAAUAGUUUGGAUAGAGAAGUCUUUUGGUGACCCUCAAAGGCUUCCACUACUUCAUUUUACGAUUGAUCAUUCAAUAUCAAGAAACAUGAAGGCGCGGGAGCCUACGAAGGUUCACUGAAGGAACUACUCAUAUAUAUAUACUGAUCAUCCUUGUGGGCCAAAUACUGUGAGUGUUUGAACUCUUCAUAUGUUAUUUCAUUGGAUUUGCAGUUUUAUGUUGGAGUUCCAAUGUCUACUUCGGUUUUAGUUUGUUUGCAACUACUUUUGAAGUCCGCAGCUGUUAUCACAAACACAGGAAUGAGAAAGAUUAUCUAUAAAUGAGAAAAAAAUAAAUUUAGACAGUACCUAAUUUUCUAUUGAGAAAAAUGUUAGGAACACGGUACACUCAAUUAUUAGUUAAAAUUUAUUGUAAGUUACAAAAUUCUGUAGAUCUUUCCUUAAAUAAUGAAUCUAACAUGUGAUUUUGUUAUUUUUAA
rnacentral:lncRNA from 1 species